AACGGUCUAUACCUGCGGUACCUGCGGAGGGAUCAUUACCGAGUUUACAACUCCCAAACCCCAUGUGAACAUACCUGUUUCGUUCCCUCGGCGGUGUCCGGCAACGGCCCGCCAGAGGACCCAACAAACUCUUUUGAAUUUUUCAGUAUCUUCUGAGUGAAAAAAACAAUAAAUCAAAACUUUUAACAAUGGAUCUCU
rnacentral:misc_RNA from 1 species